UUCACACUGUGAGUGUGUGUUUUCAUUUGGCUUUUCAUUGUCCAGGUUUGCUGACUUGGAACAGCAGGGAAUACUUUUUAUACACUUUCCUGAAGCGUGAUGUGAGAGUGUAGAAAUAUUUUACUUCUCCUAUGAGAAAAGCUGGAAUAACAGAAGAAUUUUUGCUGUGAUGUCCUCCAGUCGUCCUCUGCUGAAAUCUAAGCAAUCGUGCUGAGGUGCAGAAGACAAAAGUUUCCCAUCAAGUGUAUGAAGAGCAAGAAAACAGCAAACUUAAUAACUUGCACUCCUCAUUGCUCACAUUUCCUGAAGAUUGCUGAGAUCAAGAAAGCCGUCAAGUGCUCCUUUGCAUUCAUGCUGAUGUGUGUAAAUCAACAGAACUGUGCUCAGUUUUCCCAGGAGACUGACUUUGAGUGCACAGCAUUCAGAAAGGGGCAGUGCAUGUACUUGGCUGCACAGAAAGUGGAGGGAGAUGGUCACGUGUUCAUCAGUCAGAAAGAAAAAAAAACCAAAAAACAACAACAUUGAUACAUUAUUCAUUAUUCAUGCCAGAGAAAGAGAGAGGCGCUGAUGGAGAAACUAAGUAAACAGACUGUCAAGGGUAAGUUUCAUAUGUUUGGACCUAGUAAAUAUACUUGUGAAGUUCACACUACUACUUAUUUUUC
rnacentral:lncRNA from 1 species